CUCCCCUUCAGAGAAGGUUGUGUCCUUGCUGCUCUUUACUUUCUCCCUCAAUAAACCUCUCUGGAUCAAGCAAGCAAGAAGUCCUCCUGCUCUUCAUUCUGUGAAAAUCCACAACUCAUGAAUCACAUUUUCCAUCGUGAAAAACUUUUCGAAAACAUGAGCUGCUCAACCAAAACUCAUCUUGUUUGACCAUUCCCAGAAGCGAGUGAUGCAGAAGAAGCUGAGCUACCUUGAGCUUCAAAUCCACAGCCAGUCCAAUUUUGUCAUUGUGUACAAAUCACGGAGCUGCAGUGGGGUGUAAUCCAAGCAGGCAUUGCUCCCAGCCCUUCCAGCUCACCCAGCAGAAAGCUGUGUUUGCAUCCAGCAUGCUCAGGCCUGGCUGGGUGGGCAGAGGCAGCAGCAGUCAGGCUGCAAACUCCUCUGACGGAUCAGACAAAAUAGGAGCAAUGCUUUCCAGAAGAAGGACAAUAUUUGAGAUCAUCUACUUUGCAGUGGAACAAGAGAGCAGAAGCGGAGAAGACAGCAGGAAAACUGAGGCACAGCAGAAGCCACACAACUUGUCAAAGACACAGAAGAGUCACUUGGGAGCCACAGUUCAAAUUCCUGAGGACAUAACUUCUGGAGAUGCUCUCUGCUGGCUGGAGCAUGCCAAGGAGAAGCUGUUGCAUCUGUACACACCUUCAGCAGGGUGUGAUUUAUGUUCCAGGGUGUGGGAAUAACCUCUGGAUUUUAGCAGCUCUACAGUGACCCCAGUCCCACAGGUCUGUCUGUCCUGUCUAACCCUGUUGCCCCAGCAGCCUGUGCCAAUGAGGGGAUGAGACCCCCAGGCACUGACUUGGGUUGGGGGGAGCUGUUUGCCUGGGCAUGGGAACCACCCUUUUCAGUCCCUGGGGGCUCAUUUCACGUGCAUUUUUCAAUUUGCUGUGCCCAGUCUGCCUUUUCCCAGGUUAGACACUGAGUUCUGCCCCAUCUGUGUGGUACCUGUGACCAUCCUGCUGUUUGUGGAGACUGGAAGAGCUGGACACACCAAGAUUUUAGAGGUGGGAAGGAGUCUGAUAGAUCCAUGAGUCCUUGACAGGUUUCCCUGAAGAUAAUUUGGAUUAAGAAGGGAGGGAAGAACUGGGGCUGCCUGGAGACCCAGAGAUGUCCACACAAGCUCCUUGAACAAUCUCAGACUGAGGCAGAGGAACUGUUAGGACAUCAAACUUCUCAGACCCACUUUCCACCUGUAACAGAGCCCCUGAGGGUGGCUGAAGGGUGGAGCUCCCAUCCCUCUCUCCAAACUUAGUGUGCAGCUUCAUGACCCAUCUGGCUGCUAUCCAGAAAGGAGGUUUUGGGAUUCCCAUUCUGAGCCCCUGAAGCCUUUUCAUCUGCCUUUAAAUAGAACAGGGCUUUGAGGGAAACUGGAACUGGAACAAAGCUCCUUCCCCACUGUGGGGCCAGCGGGGUCGAUGAAGAAGCAGCUGAGGGUGAAAUCAAUUAAUUCAUUCAUUACAGAGCUACUGCAGUCACAAAGAUAUUUCAAUUGUGCUUGCUGAGAGGUCCUCAUGAGAGAUACAUCUCAUUUUCAGAGAGGUUCCCAAGGGGAGGGCAUCGUCAGACAAUUUCAUUCCUGCUGACUAGAGGGUAACAGACAUUCUAAGGAAAACGUACCCUCUUGUCACCUCAAAUUUCACUCCAGAACAAGCAAGAGUUUGAGGGAAAUCAGAUCCCACUUUAAUCUAGGGAGAUUUGUAAAAGAAAACCACAAAAACUUGGGGAGAUAGGACAUGGUGAAUGCUAUUUUCAAGGUUUAGAGAACAAGAAAGUAAGGCAGAGAAGUUUGCUGUCAGACUUCUGUUGCUGGGCAGGACUUCUGAGAUAGCUCAACACUCACAGGGAAACCCUCCAAGCCCCUGGAUCAUGAUUCCACCAGAAACCAAAUGCUCUGGGCUGUAGCCUUCUGCCCCAAAUUCCUCCUGCUGCCUUGGGGGCACAUCCUGCAGCUGUAUUUGAGUCCAUGCCCAUUGUAGCCCUUCCUGUGCUUCACACAGCCCUGUACUGUCUGAUCUUGUAAGGGAAAUUUAAUGAUUUUAAAUAUAAAUUUAGGUCAUUUAAAAAAGACUGUGAGGUCUGAUCACUUAACAGCUCUUAUAACAAGGUAUGGCACUUUUUCCAUGCACUUUUGUGCCCCAAACCAGAGAACAGGAUGUCAGUUGCUUAAUCACAGUCGUGAUUUCAAACCCUUUGCUCCUUACAGAGAGAUUUUUCAAGAGUCCUACAAUCAGUAUCUCAAAAUCUUCUGAAGAUACAGCUAUUUAUUGCAGGGUUUGGCUGGGUAAUGUUUCAGAGAAAAAAAUGUCAUCCUGUCUGGAUAUUCCAUGUUAGCAAGAGAGAAAAUGCACCUGCUGGCAGAUGAAUAGACAAAAAAAGAGCCUGCAAUUCUGGAGAAAAAACAGAGCUUUUCAAUCAUUUCUAUGUACCUGACAGCAAAGUUCACCUGCAAAGCAAGGGCACAGUCUAAACACCUACAGCAUAAUCCAAAAACACUGAAGGGAGCAGGGCUAUGGGAUAAGAAAGCAUAAAGUGCUGAUGAAUUUAGUCCCGUCCUUUAAUAUAGUGAGGAUACAGAUGGCACAAGCAGGCUGGGAUUCCCAGGCUGGGCUGAAACCAUGAGAGGAGCAGUGGAUCACAGGAGGGAAAGGCUGAAAUCCAUGGAAGGGUCAGUGACAGCAAUGGAGCAAAGUCAUAACUGCUUUUCCUUGCUUGUCUUUCCAAACAGGGAUCAUUCACAAAGUGGAAUCAGCUUUCUCAGCUUGGAGGAAGGAGGGAUGGAUGGAUGAAGGGAU